UUAAGCGACUAAGCGUACACGGUGGAUGCCCUGGCAGUCAGAGGCGAUGAAGGACGUGCUAAUCUGCGAUAAGCGUCGGUAAGGUGAUAUGAACCGUUAUAACCGGCGAUUUCCGAAUGGGGAAACCCAGUGUGUUUCGACACACUAUCAUUAACUGAAUCCAUAGGUUAAUGAGGCGAACCGGGGGAACUGAAACAUCUAAGUACCCCGAGGAAAAGAAAUCAACCGAGAUUCCCCCAGUAGCGGCGAGCGAACGGGGAGCAGCCCAGAGCCUGAAUCAGUAUGUGUGUUAGUGGAAGCGUCUGGAAAGGCGCGCGAUACAGGGUGACAGCCCCGUACACAAAAAUGCACAUGCUGUGAGCUCGAUGAGUAGGGCGGGACACGUGGUAUCCUGUCUGAAUAUGGGGGACCAUCCUCCAAGGCUAAAUACUCCUGACUGACCGAUAGUGAACCAGUACCGUGAGGGAAAGGCGAAAAGAACCCCGGCGAGGGGAGUGAAAAAGAACCUGAAACCGUGUACGUACAAGCAGUGGGAGCUCGCUUAGGCGUGUGACUGCGUACCUUUUGUAUAAUGGGUCAGCGACUUAUAUUCUGUAGCAAGGUUAACCGAAUAGGGGAGCCGAAGGGAACCGAGUCUUAACUGGGCGUUAAGUUGCAGGGUAUAGACCCGAAACCCGGUGAUCUAGCCAUGGGCAGGUUGAAGGUUGGGUAACACUAACUGGAGGACCGAACCGACUAAUGUUGAAAAAUUAGCGGAUGACUUGUGGCUGGGGGUGAAAGGCCAAUCAAACCGGGAGAUAGCUGGUUCUCCCCGAAAGCUAUUUAGGUAGCGCCUCGUGAAUUCAUCUCCGGGGGUAGAGCACUGUUUCGGCAAGGGGGUCAUCCCGACUUACCAACCCGAUGCAAACUGCGAAUACCGGAGAAUGUUAUCACGGGGAGACACACGGCGGGUGCUAACGUCCGUCGUGAAGAGGGAAACAACCCAGACCGCCAGCUAAGGUCCCAAAGUCAUGGUUAAGUGGGAAACGAUGUGGGAAGGCCCAGACAGCCAGGAUGUUGGCUUAGAAGCAGCCAUCAUUUAAAGAAAGCGUAAUAGCUCACUGGUCGAGUCGGCCUGCGCGGAAGAUGUAACGGGGCUAAACCAUGCACCGAAGCUGCGGCAGCGACGCUUAUGCGUUGUUGGGUAGGGGAGCGUUCUGUAAGCCUGCGAAGGUGUGCUGUGAGGCAUGCUGGAGGUAUCAGAAGUGCGAAUGCUGACAUAAGUAACGAUAAAGCGGGUGAAAAGCCCGCUCGCCGGAAGACCAAGGGUUCCUGUCCAACGUUAAUCGGGGCAGGGUGAGUCGACCCCUAAGGCGAGGCCGAAAGGCGUAGUCGAUGGGAAACAGGUUAAUAUUCCUGUACUUGGUGUUACUGCGAAGGGGGGACGGAGAAGGCUAUGUUGGCCGGGCGACGGUUGUCCCGGUUUAAGCGUGUAGGCUGGUUUUCCAGGCAAAUCCGGAAAAUCAAGGCUGAGGCGUGAUGACGAGGCACUACGGUGCUGAAGCAACAAAUGCCCUGCUUCCAGGAAAAGCCUCUAAGCAUCAGGUAACAUCAAAUCGUACCCCAAACCGACACAGGUGGUCAGGUAGAGAAUACCAAGGCGCUUGAGAGAACUCGGGUGAAGGAACUAGGCAAAAUGGUGCCGUAACUUCGGGAGAAGGCACGCUGAUAUGUAGGUGAAGUCCCUCGCGGAUGGAGCUGAAAUCAGUCGAAGAUACCAGCUGGCUGCAACUGUUUAUUAAAAACACAGCACUGUGCAAACACGAAAGUGGACGUAUACGGUGUGACGCCUGCCCGGUGCCGGAAGGUUAAUUGAUGGGGUUAGCGCAAGCGAAGCUCUUGAUCGAAGCCCCGGUAAACGGCGGCCGUAACUAUAACGGUCCUAAGGUAGCGAAAUUCCUUGUCGGGUAAGUUCCGACCUGCACGAAUGGCGUAAUGAUGGCCAGGCUGUCUCCACCCGAGACUCAGUGAAAUUGAACUCGCUGUGAAGAUGCAGUGUACCCGCGGCAAGACGGAAAGACCCCGUGAACCUUUACUAUAGCUUGACACUGAACAUUGAGCCUUGAUGUGUAGGAUAGGUGGGAGGCUUUGAAGUGUGGACGCCAGUCUGCAUGGAGCCGACCUUGAAAUACCACCCUUUAAUGUUUGAUGUUCUAACGUUGACCCGUAAUCCGGGUUGCGGACAGUGUCUGGUGGGUAGUUUGACUGGGGCGGUCUCCUCCUAAAGAGUAACGGAGGAGCACGAAGGUUGGCUAAUCCUGGUCGGACAUCAGGAGGUUAGUGCAAUGGCAUAAGCCAGCUUGACUGCGAGCGUGACGGCGCGAGCAGGUGCGAAAGCAGGUCAUAGUGAUCCGGUGGUUCUGAAUGGAAGGGCCAUCGCUCAACGGAUAAAAGGUACUCCGGGGAUAACAGGCUGAUACCGCCCAAGAGUUCAUAUCGACGGCGGUGUUUGGCACCUCGAUGUCGGCUCAUCACAUCCUGGGGCUGAAGUAGGUCCCAAGGGUAUGGCUGUUCGCCAUUUAAAGUGGUACGCGAGCUGGGUUUAGAACGUCGUGAGACAGUUCGGUCCCUAUCUGCCGUGGGCGCUGGAGAACUGAGGGGGGCUGCUCCUAGUACGAGAGGACCGGAGUGGACGCAUCACUGGUGUUCGGGUUGUCAUGCCAAUGGCACUGCCCGGUAGCUAAAUGCGGAAGAGAUAAGUGCUGAAAGCAUCUAAGCACGAAACUUGCCCCGAGAUGAGUUCUCCCUGACUCCUUGAGAGUCCUGAAGGAACGUUGAAGACGACGACGUUGAUAGGCCGGGUGUGUAAGCGCAGCGAUGCGUUGAGCUAACCGGUACUAAUGAACCGUGAGGCUUAACCUU
rnacentral:rRNA from 1 species